AACUCAUGCCACAGUUCAAAAUUAACAAAAUUACAGCCCAAAAACCAUAAUAAAAUUAAGUUAAAUUUAAAAAUAAUUUAUUAAAUAAAAAUCGAGACAAGACCUCCGAAUGCUAUGUCCGAUCCUAACCUCAAGGAUUAUCUGUAAUGAUAAAAACAUAGGGGUGAGCUUUAAAAAAACUCAGUAUGAGUCUUAAUCAGAAAAAUCAAAACAUUAGUGAAGCACACAAGCUAUCAAUCAUUCGACAAAGCAUAACAUUACAGUACACAAUAUUCUCAAUAAUUGUGCAUAGGCAUGCUCAUAUGAAAACAGUGCAGAGUUCCUACCUAUCCAUUUGCUACACACCAUGAGUUCCUUAGAACUCAUCAUUUGUACACCAAAACAAUAGGAGUCAUAGCUCAAUGUGGAUAAACCACUGGUAACAAUUUUGCAGUUAGACUGCUAGUAUAUAAUUGCAAAUAAACCACCAGUACUCCACAGAACUCCUCUGUGACCAGUCAAUUCCCACCCCAUGCAAUGCAAUAUGUGUAGCUUACCAUGCUUGUUAAUAACAAUUCCAAUAAAAGUGACAUGUUUUACAAGCAAUCAGUAUGUAUGGUAACAAUCAGUGGCAUGCUUACAUGCAAUCAAUAUACAGUAUCAAUCAACAUGCUUAACGCUACAAGACAUGUAAUAACAUGCACUCCGUCAAUCCAUCAAUAUCAAUAGAUAUACAAAUGGUUAAUCCUUAAGGCACUUACACACUUGGUUAUUUACACUUUAAGGCCCUAGAACAUUCACCCAAUGCAAAUUAGGCCACUUAGUGCAUUCGGCCAAUACAAUAAAGUACAUACAUGCUUUCAGCAUUCACCAAACAUACAAAAUUAAGACUAACACAUGAAAAACGCAAAUCCAAAGCACUAGACUUAAAUCCAUAACUCCUAUAUUCAGAUCUGACUAAAUCUUGAUUAGAUUUGUAACUUCUACUGCUUCAAAACGAAGAUGCAAACAAUAUUUGAUGUCACUUAUGAUCCGAGAUGUUCAUAUCUAGACCUUCUAUAAAAAACACACACAAAAAUCAGACAUAAGGUUCGGCCAAGAACAUUUGUAACAUUCGACCAUAACAGAGGAAAUAGAAAAGAAAUACGAGAUCAGAUAUUAUUUGAAUUCAACUUACACUUCACAAAUUCAGAUAUGUGAUAAUGAGUCAACACAAAAAAAUGAAUGAUCACUUGCAGAAAACCAAGGGAUAUUCGACCGAUAGAGAAGAGAGAGACAAAAAUAAAAUAAAAGAGAAUAGAAGGAAGAGGGAGGAGAAAGAAGGGUGGCACAACAAUGGUCAAAACUAGGGUUUUAGGGGGCGGCAUAAUGAAGAGGGUAGAGAAAAAAAUUAAGAAAAUGAGAGAAGAAGAAAAGGCAGGAUGACAAAG
rnacentral:lncRNA from 1 species